CUCGCAGCGAGGCCUGCUCCAUGCCCGCCGCGCACCAUAUCCGACUCGCUGACGCGGCCCGAAGGUCCCAAUGGCCAAUGCGCAACCUCCCCUGUCCGACUCGAUCUCGCCCUCUCUCUCUCUCGUUUUCUCGAUCCGACAGCCGGUGGCAGACGCGCCGGCGACCAGAACUCCAGAAGGCAGGCGCGACGCCGCGAGCCUCGACCGUGAGGCCAGCGUAAACACGCAGCAGCAGUGCUGGGAGGGGCAACAGGCAGAUCAAGACACCCCCACGGUGGCUCGACGAGCGGAAUCGACGCAUCCCAAUUCCUGAUUUCCUCCGCGAUUGAUUCACCGACGCGUCCCUGUUGGAUCUCUCUCUGACCGACCGGACGUCCACGGUGGCGGCCGAACAUGACACCGGGAUUCUUCACGGGCCGCUCGGCGGAAGCACGACAAGCCGCCGGCCCGGCCCCGCGCGCAUUCGCCAACCACACCGAUCAGCCAGUCACCCGGGAGCUUCAAAAAGCAAAGCAACAGCCAUUUCGUUAAUCCUCUGAUACAUCGGCAGAGAUAGUGCAUAUAAUAAGAAUCUGACGUUAGAUGCAUAUCAGGGUAGAACGGUUGCAGCAUUUGGCUAGAUGCUCUGCCAUGUCCAGAGCUCCAUGAACUAUCCACGAUUCAACAGCAUACAGGUCUUCAUCUUCAUCACUAAUUUCAGGGGUCAGAGCACGCAAGCUUUUCUGUAUGUUCUUCAGAUCUUUUCCUUCUGGAAUUCAGAUCUGAAGAUGGAAGUUUCAUACAUGGAUUAGGCACCGAGCUAUCACCACUGUCUUGGCACCAAGCAGCUGAGUUUGUCGCUGGUUGAAGGUCCUCAUGGACUUGUGUGGGGGAGAUGGGUGCUAUCGAUGUCUGGUCCACCCCCAGAGCAUGUCCGCUGCAGCGCCGCCGGGGGGCAAGAUCCAGCCCCGGAGCCGACUGCUGGCUUGCCGUGCGCUGCUUGUGCGCUGCUUCUCCUGUGUCGAUGCCGCGGCCUUCAACUUCCACACCGCCGACCAACAGCGCGCCAAGGCAAGAUCCAAUCCCGGAGCAGGCCGCCGCCACCAACAGCGCCGUCGGGGCAAGAUCCAAUCCCGGAGCAGGCCGCCACCGCCGCCGACAGCGCCGCCGGGGCAAGAUCCAAUCCCGGAGCCUGCUGCCGCGGGCUGCGGCCUUCAACUCCCGGCUCCCACACCGCUGCUGCCGCUCCAGCAGUUGUAGCACUGCUGCUGCCUCGAGAAAGGAUGAAUAGAACACACCAGCAUGAAUCUUUGGCGCCAUCGCCGGUUUUCUUCGCGCCAAAAUGACCUCGCCGCAUGGGAUCGGCCGGAGUCGUCGUCGGUUGAAGACGAUGCGUACAGCGGAGGGGGUGCUCGUCGAUUCCGCCUCGGAGCACGGGCCUUCGCCGUCGCCUCCCGUCGCCUCACGAGACGACGGCACGACCGUCUCCGAGGCAGGGUUUUUUUAAGGGAAAAUUCGAUUCAUACCACCACAACUCCGUGAAAUUGGGUGUCAUGUUGAAAAUCAUGUCACUCAAUGGCAUGAUUUUCAACAUGAGAUCCAAUUUCAAGAAAUUGGAGUGGCAUGGAUCCAACUGACCCUUUUUUUUACCGACCGGUCGCCUCAAACCGCCGGCCUUCUAUUCCGGUAAAUCGGACCGGUUCGACCGGAAACCGGUAAAAACCAGUCAAAUUCAAAUUUCAAAUUAUAGACGCCAGUUCAAACGGUUUCCACCGGUUAGCCGACCGGUUUGAGUGGAAACCGGUCCGUUGAACAAAAAAUCGACUUUGUUCAAAAUUUGAAUUUUUGUAUAACAUGUUUUUAGCCUAAAUAAACCCUCCGACUCUCUUUUGUACUAAUUUUACAUUAAUAUAAUGUAUAAUAUGUUUUACAUUGUAUU